GUGCUCGCUUUGGCAGCACACACACUAACACUGGAACGAUACAGAGAUUAGCACGGCCCCUGCGCACGGACGACACGCAGAUUCGUGCAGUGUUCCAUGUUUUU